GAAACCUAUUGGUCCACCGAUGGUUUUGCGCUUCCCCUCGUCAUCGUCCCCCGCCCGAUACCGUGUUCGUGAUGUACGACGAUUUCGCACCGGAGAAGCCACACGAGCCUUUCUCGGUUCGCCGCCGUCAUCCUCUCUUCUCUCUUGUCCUAUACCUCGCCUAAUCUUUGGUGGGAAGCCUGCCUCCGAGAUGAAACCCUAGCCCGCGGUCUCUUUCGUCCUCUUGACAUUUCGCUCCAAUCGCCGCAGUUCAAGUACGUCGUAGCUACGGUUCGAAUGGCGUGGAAAGAUUCGACCUCCUGUUGCUUUCUUGGUUGAAUUUGUUCGCAGUUCCAGGAGUGCAAAAAGGCGGUUUCGAGGAGCAGCAUGGGGAUGAUUUAGGUUCCCAAUUCGAAGAUAUCAUCGAUCACAUGUGGCAAGUGUGAUUUCCGUUGCUCUCAAUUGAUGAGGGAAGUUAUCAUUUACGGUCUGGACCUGGGCAGUCGGCAGUGAUAUCCUCCGAGAUAAAAACCUUAAGCUCCCGAGGUGUCAAUUGAAGACCGAGGUUGGAAGAGAUUUUGGUACUAGUGCGGACGUCGAUAGUCAAAAUAGAAGGCCAUUUUACAUAAGAAGCUUGUUUAGAGAGGUGUAUUCAUGGCAUAAUGGCUGGUGAGCAAAUGACUAGUGUAACAUGAUCAACUCUGCAAGCAAUGAGGUGCAUUAACCACAUUUGCAAAUAUCACAAAAAGAUCAAGGAAUUGCAAGGAGUUGAGGAGCAUCUGAAAAAUCAAUAGAAACUGAUAGGUAAGUUAUUGCCUGUAGCAGACAAAUUGAGCCUCUUUGUUCUUAAAUUUCUAUGCUGCUUGGGGAUUUUAAGCUUUUGGGUAUACAUUAAUCAUGCUUAUGUGUUGUUCUGGUUUGGAAUCUUUUACAUUGUUGCAUCUAAAUUAUUGAUAGUCCAAAACUUGGUCAUUUUAAUAUUUGCAAACUAGAGCAUACCAUUUUGGACAGUGGUUCUUAUGUGGAAUGACAUGGAUGCAUGAGGGGCCCAAAUUGUUCAUUUGUGUGGGGCAACCCUAGUAUGUUAUCUGACCAUAUUGGCUGACAUGCAAACACCAGAUAUAUCAUGGACCCUGUUAAAUACCAUGUUAGUUUAAUCUGAUAUGUGCAGGCAUAUAAAGGUGCUGGCAAAAUUUGAGUAGUUGCUUCUGGUUCUAGCAUGUGAAGUAGCAAACAAAUAUUUAAGUCUUCUGUCUUUGAUUUGUAUAUUAUUGUUCAAAAGAUGUGUUGCAAGUUAUUGUCUUCUGGCAUCCUUGUUUCCCAAAAAGACAAUACACAAUGGAUUUUUCUUCUAAUUAUUAUUGCUAUUUUACUCCGUAUUCCUCCAAAAAAUUUUAUGGCGUCUCUUGGAGCUAUUGUUGUCGCCUGAGCAGUCUUGCAUUAAGGGUGGUUGAUGUUAUGAUAAUGUUUGGGGUUCAUUCUGCUGAAGUUACUGGGCCAAUGGGCACAUAAACUCGUAGCUUGUGCAGGCCAUCCAUGAACAAACAUCUGACCGCACAAGGUUGUUGAAUUAUCUGCAGAUGGCCGAUGAUGAUUGGCAAAUAAGAUGUUUGGCUGCUGGUGCUUGCAUCGCCAUCAGAUGUCUGCAGACUGGUUCCAAGGGCAAACACUUGGAGCUGAUAUUACUCUUACAAUCAAUGGGCUAUGGGCUAUGGGAGGGGAGGACAUGACUAGGCGAGGACAGAUUUGACAUCGAAGACCUUCAAGAGAAGUAUCAAAUCUCAGCCAUGCGUGGCCUCAGAGUUCCGCCAUCAACACACCACAUGAUGCUGGCUCGUUAUUAUCGAUCACCAGCAAUUUUUCCACCGGUCUGUUCAAAUCAGUAGCGACGACCGCGGGUUGAUUUAAAAUGUGGUCAAGUCCAACUCGCACGCAUGGAAAAAGGGAAGAGAGAGAGAGAGAGUGAGAGAGAGUCCAUGAUCAACGUGGAAUACUGGUCGGAGGGCAUUUAUCACGGACACGUCGUUGUCCGAUCCCUUGUUGGUUUUGGAUGGAUGAGAAGCGUGAGUUGUGAGUGUAGAAGGCUUCUCAUCUACAAACCUUUUGGAUCCACUUUCUUAGGAGUACAAUGGUGAAGUGACGAUGAAGAUAAUGCAAUGCGUGUCAUGAGCUUGGGUAUUAAGAUAAUUUUGAAUGCUUAAUUAAGUUUGACCUCUAUGGUUCUCAUCA